rnacentral:rRNA from 1 species
CUCGUAGGUGGCCAACUAAGUCAGACGUGAAAUCCCUCAGCUUAACUGGGGAACUGCGUCUGAUACUGGAUGGCUUGAGUUUGGGAGAGGGAUGCGGAAUUCCAGGUGUAGCGGUGAAAUGCGUAGAUAUCUGGAGGAACACCGGUGGCGAAGGCGGCAUCCUGGACCAACACUGACACUGAGGAGCGAAAGCCAGGGAGCAAACG